GUUCACUGUCACGUCACUGAGGCUAAAGAGACAACGCUUUAUAUAUACAGACAGUCUAUGCUAACAACCGACAACAGUUUGCUCCAAAAGAUGGCAGAAAUAGCCGGAUCGACAUCCAGAGAGGAAAUCCUGAAGGAAAGUGGGCCUCCCGCCAUACUUGGACAAGGUCCCAAUGUGUGGAUAAUAGGGAGCAGCUACGUUAGACGUGGGGAAGAAAGAGCCAGACACACCAUGGGAAGCAACCUGGGUGUCAAUUGCCGUGUGUGGUGGUUUGGCAAGGGUGGUCUGAGGUGGAGGAACCUUCUUCCCUUUUUCUAUUAGUCCUUGAGAGGAAGAACAGUCCCGGAUGUCCUGCUCAUCCACUGUGGCGGCAAUG